GGAUGCGAAACAGGAAGUAGAUUGUACAUGAAAUUAUAUUGGUGACGUCACGAGCAGUAUGCCUAUGCUCUUUUCGCUCUAGCGUAGCCUCUAGUGACCUUGUUUCUCGAAGUUUUGGGUUAUUGGUCAAGUUACUACUUUGCUGAGUUGAAGUAAGUAUUAUGAAGUCUCUAUUAGCUCGAAUGACCUGCUGAAUCCUUGUUUGCUUGAUCACUGGAUCUCGUUGUGCUGUAAAACAUGGCGGCCUAUAGUUCUGACUUUAAACACCUUUUCUCCAAUCUGGGGCAGAGUUAGGUAUGAAUAUGAAACCAAUGAAGCUAAAUUGUCUGUUGUUUCUUGUACUGACUCUUUUCAGAAGAAAUAUAGAUUUUUAUGAAGUUUUUUAUAAUUAUUGAUUUUGCCACCAUUUUGGUUGCUAAGCGUAUCUAGGAAAAACGUCA
rnacentral:lncRNA from 1 species